GACGAACGCUGGCGGCGUGCCUAAUACAUGCAAGUAGAACGCUGAAGGAGGAGCUUGCUUCUCUGGAUGAGUUGCGAACGGGUGAGUAACGCGUAGGUAACCUGCCUGGUAGCGGGGGAUAACUAUUGGAAACGAUAGCUAAUACCGCAUAAUAGUAGAUGUUGCAUGACAUUUGCCUAAAAGGUGCAAUUGCAUCACUACCAGAUGGCCCUGCGUUGUAUUAGCUAGUUGGUGGGGUAACGGCUCACCAAGGCGACGAUACAUAGCCGACCUGAGAGGGUGAUCGGCCGCACUGGGGCGGAGACACGGCCCAGACUCCUACGGGAGGCAGCAGUAGGGAAUCUUCGGCAAUAGACGGAAGUCUGACCGAGCAACGCCGCGUGAGUGAAGAAGGGUUUCGGAUCGUAAAGCUCUGUUGUAAGAGAAGAACGAGGGUGAGAGUGGAAAGUUCACACUGUGACGGUAUCUUACCAGAAAGGGACGGCUAACUACGUG
rnacentral:rRNA from 1 species